CAAUGGAUAAAAAUGGAUUUCUUGUCUUUGGUCUAGUAAAGUUCAACAAGCAAAAGUAAUUUUGACAUUGGGAAAAGAGAGGGACUCCAAGAUUAAAAUCAGGACAAGGAAAUCAAUUUGUAUAUUGUGAAUGCCUCCAGCUGAGCCCACAAAUGUGUAUAUAUACAUAUAUGCUUUAUUAGAAAAUAAUUUCAUGAUCAUAAUCAAAAGAGUUCCCUUGUUGUGCAUAAGCUGUUCCAAAAUCAUUCAAUAUGUGAUAUUUCAAUCCAUAUGGUAUUACCCAUGUUGAGGCACCGGGAAUCCAAGCGCCAGAAAUUUGAAUCGCGGCAUCACCUUGUCAAAUGCAGACGUGGCACUCACAUUGGUCGGAGCCCAAAAAGGAUUGAAUUUAUAGACGGAGCUCAAUUUCAUGAGCACUCUCCGUUUGAACGCUCGACUUGCAAAUCUAGAGCAGCUAGGCAGAAUUGCGGUCGAGCUCCCAACGCAAGAUCUUCCCCAAUAAUCCGCGAUAGUUCGUGCAAUCUCUUGCUCCUCCUCAAUCUCGAUCUGUUCUUCAAGGGCUGAGUCGGUUUCUAGCGGUGCCAUAGGCCGGAGGAAGAAACCACUGGCUGUGCAGAGGCCGGAAACCUCUAAGAUCAAUCGAUCUAAUAGCACAUUGCUGUGGCAGCGCUGUGAGCUGCUAGAUCUGCAUUGCUCGCAGCCACGUUGAAAGAAGCGCCAUGGCCGAGGCUAUUGUGACGUGCACGUAAAAAUCCUUUGU
rnacentral:lncRNA from 1 species